GGCAGUGGCUCAGUGGUAGAGUGCUCGCCUAGCACGUGUGAGGCACUGGGUUUGAUUCUCAGCACCA
rnacentral:tRNA from 1 species